CUGCCUCUUCCUUAUAUAAGUUGAGAUCUUUUUGUUUUGACUUUAAUGAUGAAUGUUUUUUUGUCUUCUUUUCAGCAGAUUUCUCAUAAAUUACAUCAUCUGAAUCACUAGAAACUGAAUUUCUGGUUUUACUCUUUUCUUUUCUUACAUUAUUAGAAUCAACUUUCUUAUUUCUCACAAUCUUUUUGUGCCCAUCAUUUUUUAAAUGGUCCUUGCCUUUCUUUUGUUUAUGAUGAGCAGCUUCACUCUCCUCCUCAGAAGAUUCUCUUCUAGACCUUUUUGCUUGUUUUGGUCUGUUAAUGCCAUCUUCAUCAGAUGACCUUUCAGUGAAUUUCCAAAUUUAUAAAAGAAAGGUCGUACAUCUUCAGGAGUACUGGAAUCAUUGUCACAUAAUGACCUUAUUGAUUUUUUCACUUCUUCCACCCUUGCAAGCCGUUCUUUCAUAUAUACUCUAUUUUUAGUAUCUCUUCUGAAAUCAAAUAUGUGCUUUUAAAUUAUUAUAUUAUUAUCACAUUCUGAAUAUGUUACACAAAAAUAAAAAUUAUAUUAAUUAUACUACAUAAUUAAUUUCACACAAUUCCCUACUAAAACUAUGCAGAAUUAAUAUAUAACAGUUUAUUUUUUUCUUUGUAUAUACUUACUUGAAUAAAGAAGACAUAGUGAAUGACAAAAUAGUUCUCUAUUUUCAAAAAGACCUUCAUUUAAGUAUAAAACAUUUUUAUUUUCAAUUUCAGAACCCAAAAUGUCAGAUUAAACUUGUUAUAUAUGUUUCUGGAAACAUAAAUUUCUAUUUUAACACUCGUGGAUUAAAAGAAUUUUUAUUAAUGUCAUAUCACCUACACUAUUAUGUCAUAUUAUCUUGUCUAUUCUGGUUUUAUUAACCAUUCAGAUUACUUUAACAAAUUCACAAUCCCCUGCCCCAUGUAUGGGUCAGUGUAUUCUCAACUCACAAGUCUGUUGACCCAUCCAUGGGUUAGGAAUGUUUAACGUUAUAAGUCAUAUAACUCUUGAUAUAGGAAUACCUUGUGUUUGAAUUUCUGUGUAGAUAAUUAAAUUGUAAAUAUUUUACAUGCAAGGAAUAAUUCAAAUGAAUAUUCUAACAAAAAUUAUUGGAGAAACAAGAAUUAUUGUAACUAAUUAAUUGUUUUGAAGCAGUUAAUACAAAAUGCAUGCAUAUGGCUUUCUUAGAUAUAUGGAAAGGAUGUAUAUCUUUUAGCAUGGCCUGUGAAUGUGUUAAUCUUUAAACAUUUAGAGACAUUAUCUAGUUGCAUAUUAUAGCAAUAAUAAACAAAGAAAAUAAAGUACUUACAACAUGUACUUUUUAUUUGGUCCUUCUCAAAAUUGUAACUGUAAAAAUAGUCAUAGAAUUGAAAUAAUAGAAAAAUAUUAAAAAUGCACAUUACAAUUUUCUCUCUAUGUAUUUCAUAACUUCUAUUCUAACUUCUAACCAGUAUUACUCU
rnacentral:misc_RNA from 1 species